CAAAAUUCUUUUUUCAUUAGUUGCCAAAUGUCAGAAAUUUAAUCAAACCUGAUCGGAUUUAUUCUGUUCCCUUCUAACAUUUUUGAUGCAAGUGACGAAAAAGAAAAUGCAACUUGGUUUUAAGAUGUCGCUCCAGAGCACCGAAAUGAGCCGCUUUACGAACCAGGGCAAGUAUAUUGCCAACUGGUUACAUAUAAGACACAAAAGAACGGCGCAAACUUUUGACUGCCCUGGCACUCCCUCUGUGCCGUGCUACCCCCUCCCCUUAUUUGCCCACAGAUCGUGCUUACCCAUUCCGCAUGGUGGUCGCAUUUGUCUACUAUUUGGCUACACCGCAGAAGUGCCUCGGUCCGGAUUUGAUAUCUGCACGUUGCUGUAGCUCGAUUUUUGCUGAUUUGCUUUUUGCUGGCUUCUACGAGUAUUUGGUUUAUUGUUUAGACGACAAAUUGCAAGGAUUCCGUUUUGUUUCACUGCGCUGCAUCCGUGUACGUGUCCUGUACGGCAAAAGUGCCUGAUUAAACUCGGGUAGCCAAAGUUCGCUUCCAUUGUCAAUUUGCGGAGUAAAAAAGAAUUCGAUUUCUGUAACGAUGA